UGGGCUCCAGCGUUCCUUAGUCCUCAGCCUCCGAAAGUGCUAGGAUUACAGGCAUGAGCCACUGCACCCAGCCUCACAGAGCUCCUAAAUUAUAAGAGUGGGGAUUUGAACCCAGAUGAGAAAACUGAGGCACAUAGGGUUAAGUAGAUUGUCCAAGGUCACUGCUGAUAACUGCAGCACUGGGAUUUGAAGCACUGAACUCUGCUGACUCCUGAGAAGGCAGCCUUGACCUGGAGCCCUACAAUCCUCAUGAGCAGUCUGAAUUUUAUUCCAAGUGCAGUAGGAAGCCAUCAGAUGAUUUUAAAUGGAGAAGUAAGACACUUGGAUCUGUGCCUAAAAGAAUCACUCUGCUGUUGAGUUCCUGAGAAGCAGACUCUGAGAUAGAGAUCAUUUUGUGGGAAGCUUAUUGGGAGGUGCUCUUGGGAUCCACACCUGUAGAAGGUAAGUGAAAGAAGCAGCAUUGAGCAGAAGGAAGUCAGGCUGUGAUGCAUUGCAAGGAAGGGCUCAGCCAAUGCCACGGGGAGCUUGGAGCCUGGGAUGGCCCUUCAGAGUUACCCCAAAUUGAGCAAGGAGGCUGGGCCUUUCUGCUUCUGCAAUGACCAGUCUCUAUACAACCUGUCUUGGAAAGAGAAUGUGACCUUGGAAAGGGCAGCUUGGGAAAUGAGUUAUUCAUGCUUGAAGGAAGAUUUGGUCAAUGCAUCCAUCAUCCACUACUGGUGUCAUUCUACGAAUUAAGGAAGGAGGGGCUCAGAGUGGAAGCAGAGGGACAAGUUAGAAAGAUCUAGCAAGGGAUGACCCUCAAGGUGGGGGGACCUUAGUGGGCAAAGGUGCAGAGGUGGGAUUACACAAGUAAUCGUGAGAGAAUAUGGAGAGCCAGGCGUCACUGGAGGGAGAUGAGUGCAAAUGAGGGAUUAGGGGUUUUGCUGUUAGUUGGAGACAAGGUGCCCUACUCAGGGAAUGGAAGCCUCUUUGCUCCCCACACUUCAGGACUGGCUCUUUAAGAUCCAAAGGAGAAGCCAACCAAAUGAAAGCAUUCUUGGCAACCAGGUAUUCCUGACCAGUCCCCGGCUCUCUGACAAGCUGUGUCACAAUAUUGAUCCAGUGAUUAAAUUUCAUGCUGAACUGACUCAAGUCCUAAAUAAUGUCCCUGUUAGAGAGCUACUGUCUGAGAGGCUGACUCCACAUGCCUGGUGGUUCAUUAGUGCCUCAAGAGGCAGACGAGAGCCAAGGAAGUGAAAGGAGGUCGUGGUUUCUGCACUUUGUGUCCUGCAAGAGGGGCUCUUGUUUGGGUAACAAAAAAGGCACUGGAUUGAGGCUUCAAAAACUGAGCUUCCAGACAUGAGUAGCAAGUCACUUUGUGACUAUGCGCAAGGUAUUUCCUUUCUGAGCCUUUGCCACCCCAAACACAAGCCAGUUUGGCAGGGAGGAGGGGUGGACUCGAUGGUCCUUGAAGAUUCACAACAGCUGCUCUUUAUGGAGGGCUUCUGAUGUGCUAAGCACUCUACAUGAAUUAUCUCCUUUAAUUCCUACCAGAAUCCUUUGAGGUGAGCAUUAUUAUGCCCAUUUUAUAAUUGAGGAAACUAAGCCUCAGAGAGGUUAAGUAACUUGCUCCAGGUAACACAGCUACUAAACGUUGGAAGCAUUUAAAUGCCAGCAGUGGAGCCUACAGUAUUUCAGAUUUCUUAUAUUUAUUAACCGUACAACUUGGGGGAAGAUUAUUUAUCCAUAGUCAUAUACAGUUAGAUCUGCAACUCCAGCAGAGUCAGUCUGACUCCCAGCCUCUCUCCUAACCUCUGGCUGUCUUGAUCUUGGGCUGGAAUCGAGUGUGAGGCUCUGUAGAAUUGACUUUGGCAUUAUCUCAAGGGAACCAGAGUUUGGGGCAGGCAUAGGGGAAUGAGACUUGAUCCUGACAAGACUGCAACAGCUUUAUUGACAAAUCUCAUCCUGACAAAAAGCCAGAUCUCAUCCUGCCUCAGGGGCCUUUCAGCCUCCACUCCUUGCAUUCUCUGCAGCAGAGACAGCCAGUCCUGGGGCUCAAACAUGCAGCCAAGGCAAACGCCAUCUCCUCCUUCCCAGCACAGCGAGGUAUGGUGGGCAGCAGAGGGGCAUCCCUGAGCACCUUCUCACC
rnacentral:lncRNA from 1 species